CCCUCUGCAUUAAGAGGAGAAACGGGAUCUGCUCGGUGCACGAUUUACUUGGGACACAAAUUAGCGAAGAGACAGAAUUCUUGGGGUCUAGGUUUCAUGAUGUGGGGCCCACGGCCUGCUGCACUGCCUGCCACGGAUGUGGUUUCUGUGCUUUCUCUCACACCACCAACGCUGUCUGGCAGAAACUGGAACCACGCGGCUGUCUUUCUUCCAUAUCGAAGGGCUGUGCUGUGCAAAGCAUUGCUUCACGCUGCUUUCCUGAUCUGCUUUGCAUAACUGCCUGGAAAAGAGUACUUCUGUGGAUAGUCCAAAAGAGAGAGAUGCACUGAACACUAUUUUACUCGGGCAUAUUCCAUGGGUUAAAUGCAUUAAAAUUCUAUUACAGUGAAAUUCUAUAUAAG
rnacentral:lncRNA from 1 species